rnacentral:tRNA from 1 species
CUAGACGUAGCUUAAUUUAAAAGCACUGAAUUUGUAAUUCACUGAAGGUUGACAUUAACCCGUCCAGG